GCUAUACUCUUUUCUUCUGGCUCCUGUUUCUAUUUGUAAUACAACAGACUUGGUAGUAGUUUGACGCAGAUCGUCAUGUUUUAGCAAUGGCUUAGGUGUUUUUCACUAUUUGAAUCCUACAUUUGGCAUUCUCACUAGGAUCUUUCCUUGCUUUUGAUAGCAGGAUAUAGUAGAACUUCCAGUUCAUUCUAUAAAAAUAAAAAUAAAAAAUCAUAUAUCCUGCAGGCCAAUGUAUUUUGGUCAAUAACUGUUUUAGAAGUGGCUUUGAAACCGUUUCAACCAAAAACGUAUGGAACACUUACAAAACCAUGCUCUGUGCUUUUGAAGGACACCUAGGUGUUUUCAAGGACUUUCAAGGCCUUCUCUCCAAAACAAUAAGAUAGAACUAUCCCUAACAUGCAGGUGGCGGAGAAGACUAAGAACUCUUGAGGAUUUAUUUGUUUACUCCCUCAGUUUUGGAGAACUAUGGAGUAGAUAUAUAUUUAGAAACAAGUGGUGAAGGCCUCUGCCACUUUGGACCCAAAAGCUCUGAUUGGUUCUCAACUCUAUUUUUAACUUGGGGUUAUUGGUGAAGCAUUUAGAAACAUUUAUAAGACUGUGGAGAGUGCGUGAAUGCCGAUGCCAUUGUUUAUUUGUAAGGUAGACUUCUCAUGAUAGGAUUUUCACGUAAUGAGCAACUAUGUGAAAGGAAUCUUGUGUUUUUGGGUACUAGCGUAUUGCAAAGCCAUGCAGCAGACUUGACAUUUACCAAUUUUCCUCUAUAUAACUUAGGCUGUGUUUGUUUGAAAUUUCAUGAUAUUUGAUGAAAUUUUCCGCAACCAAACAUAACCUUAGAUGUGUCUAUCUCUUCCUAUGUCAAACACAACUAUAUGAUGUUUGACUGGACAAUGGUUAGUUCCUAGAUUCAAUGAGUGUAGGAGCAAUGGCAUUGAGGAAUGCUUUGGCUUAUCUUUCUCCAACCUACCAAGCAGCAGAUGUAGGCUCCAUAGAAGUUAUAUCUUCAAUGAAAUCUUGUGUUUUCUUCUUGAUCAGAGAAUUGUUCAAGUCCUAUGCACACUCAAUGCAAAUCAAGUGAUUGGUUGACUUAGAGAUUUGGGUGCAUCCUUGUGGAAGACUGAUCCUCGAACUUCCGUUUUUGUUUCUUUCUUUACUACAUAAUCUUCUUGCUAUAUUAUUUAUAAGAGAAAUCCCAUGUCCGAUCAUGAGACAAGUUAAAAAAAGACCUAGUAGCGUGAUGAUUGGUCAAGAGCACCUCUCCUAACAUUCCCAUAUCCUCCCCUGAGAGAGGCCUACUGAGGUCACUUUUGCCAAUCACCAUUCCGCAAUGUCAUAUACUCCUAUUUGUGAAACUAGGCCUAGCAUUCCCCUAUUUAUAAAAAUGCUAGUGGUAUCUCUCAGUGAGAGUGGGCCAUUGUUCAGCUUCACAUCAGCAUUGUGCAUAUGUCAAUAUAACUUCCUUCAAUAUGCCAAGCGAGAUGCAAAUAAACCCAUAAAAUUCUGGGAUUUUA